GAGCACGGACCUCCAAGACCGAUAUAGGAGGAAGUAGAGAGUCACGCACUUGCUCCUAGUCGGGGGAGAAGUGGUAGUAGAGCAGAGUCAUCUCGAGGUACUGUGAGUAGGGCACAGCAGGCCUUCUAUGAACAGAUGACACAGCUGUUCCGUCAGUUCGCCGGAGCCAUUCCCCAGCCACAGCCACCUCCACCUCCACAGCCA
rnacentral:misc_RNA from 1 species